UGAUCAGCCAUGCCGCGUGUGUGAAGAAGGCCCUCGGGUUGUAAAGCACUUUCAGCGAGGAAGAACGCCUAGCGGUUAAUACCCGCUAGGAAAGACAUCACUCGCAGAAGAAGCACCGGCUAACUCCGUGCCAGCAGCCGCGGUAAUACGGAGGGUGCAAGCGUUAAUCGGAAUUACUGGGCGUAAAGCGCGCGUAGGUGGCUUGAUAAGCCGGUUGUGAAAGCCCCGGGCUCAACCUGGGAACGGCAUCCGGAACUGUCAAGCUAGAGUGCAGGAGAGGAAGGUAGAAUUCCCGGUGUAGCGGUGAAAUGCGUAGAGAUCGGGAGGAAUACCAGUGGCGAAGGCGGCCUUCUGGACUGACACUGACACUGAGGUGCGAAAGCGUGGGUAGCAAACAGGAUUAGAUACCCUGGUAGUCCACGCCGUAAACGAUGUCGACCAGCCGUUGGGUGCCUAGCGCACUUUGUGGCGAAGUUAACGCGAUAAGUCGACCGCCUGGGGAGUACGGCCGCAAGGUUAAAACUCAAAUGAAUUGACGGGGGCCCGCACAAGCGGUGGAGCAUGUGGUUUAAUUCGAUGCAACGCGAAGAACCUUACCUACUCUUGACAUCCUGCGAAUUUGGUAGAGAUACCUUAGUGCCUUCGGGAACGCAGAGACAGGUGCUGCAUGGCUGUCGUCAGCUCGUGUUGUGAAAUGUUGGGUUAAGUCCCGUAACGAGCGCAACCCUUGUCCUUAUUUGCCAGCGCGUAAUGGCGGGAACUCUAAGGAGACUGCCGGUGACAAACCGGAGGAAGGUGGGGACGACGUCAAGUCAUCAUGGCCCUUACGAGUAGGGCUACACACGUGCUACAAUGGUCGGUACAAAGGGUUGCCAACUCGCGAGAGUGAGCCAAUCCCGAAAAGCCGAUCUCAGUCCGGAUCGGAGUCUGCAACUCGACUCCGUGAAGUCGGAAUCGCUAGUAAUCGUAGAU
rnacentral:rRNA from 1 species